AAUGAGCGAAAGCCUGAUCCAGCAAUGCCGCGUGUGUGAAGAAGGCCUGUGGGUUGUAAAGCACUUUCAGUAGGGAGGAAACGGCAAGGGUUAAUACCCCUUGCAAUUGACGUUACCUACAGAAGAAGCACCGGCUAACUCUGUGGCAGCAGCCGCGGUAAUACAGAGGGUGCAAGCGUUAAUCGGAAUUACUGGGCGUAAAGGGUGCGCAGGCGGUUUGCUAAGUUGGAUGUGAAAGCCCUGGGCUUAACCUGGGAACUGCAUUCAAAACUGGCAAACUAGAGUAGAGUAGAGGGAAGUGGAAUUUCCGGUGUAGCGGUGAAAUGCGUAGAUAUCGGAAGGAACACCAGUGGCGAAGGCGACUUCCUGGACUCAUACUGACGCUCAUGCACGAAAGCGUGGGGAGCAAACAGGAUU
rnacentral:rRNA from 1 species